rnacentral:rRNA from 1 species
UACGGGGGGGGCAAGCGUUGUUCGGAAUUACUGGGCGUAAAGGGCUCGUAGGCGGCCAACUAAGUCAGACGUGAAAUCCCUCGGCUUAACCGGGGAACUGCGUCUGAUACUGGAUGGCUUGAGGUUGGGAGAGGGAUGCGGAAUUCCAUGUGUAGCGGUGAAAUGCGUAGAUAUCUGGAGGAACACCGGUGGCGAAGGCGGCAUCCUGGACCAAUUCUGACGCUGAGGAGCGAAAGCCAGGGGAGCAAACGGG